rnacentral:rRNA from 1 species
GACGAACGCUGGCGGCGUGCUUAACACAUGCAAGUCGAACGAACAGGCCAUGCGCUUGCGGGGUGCUCGAGUGGCGCACGGGGGAGAAACACGUGUGUAUCCUGCCCUUAUCUUUGGGGUAUAAUCAGGGAACUGGGGCUAAUACCGCAGAGAAGCUCCUGCUGCAUGGUGGGGGUUGGAAAGUGUCGGCGGUUGGGGAUGGUCUCGCGGCUUAUCAGCUUGAUUGUGGGGUAGUGGAAUACCACGGCUUUGACGGGUAGCCGGCCUGAGAGGGUGACCGGGCACAAUGGGACUGAGAGACGGACCAGAAUGCUACGGGAGGCAGCAGGCGGGAACAUUGCACAAUAGGGCGACGCCUGAGACGACAACGCCGCGUGCGUGAUGCCGGCUUUCGGGUGGUAAACAGAUUUCGCCGGUGACGAAGCGGGAGUGACGGUAAUGGGUAAAGAAGCACCGGCUAACUACGUG